rnacentral:rRNA from 1 species
GCCAUAUCAAUAAGCGGAGGAAAAGAAACCAACAGGGAUUGCCUCAGUAGCGGCGAGUGAAGCGGCAAGAGCUCAGAUUUGAAAUCGUGCUUUGCGGCACGAGUUGUAGAUUGCAGGUUGGAGUCUGUGUGGAAGGCGGUGUCCAAGUCCCUUGGAACAGGGCGCCCAGGAGGGUGAGAGCCCCGUGGGAUGCCGGCGGAAGCAGUGAGGCCCUUCUGACGAGUCGAGUUGUUUGGGAAU